CGUAUUAAAACAGUCUUAACACAAUCGUGUGUUAAGAUAAUGGUACACAAAUUCAUGUCAUAUUUCGGUGUACCUCUUAACGAUUCUUUCAGCAUCGAUCGAACAAUUUGUGAUAUUCGUUGCUCUUUCAUUUUCGAUUGAAAAACAUUAAUUAUUUGUUUCAAUAUCAAUUGAAAAUCCUAUGAGAUUUGUUUUUACUUCGUUGAACCUUGCAUCUGAUUUUAAAACAAGGUGAUGCUUGUUCAGUCACCAUUAUUAUUGAAUUAUUUCACUCACUACGACACCUUGUGGUGUCGGUAUAAACUUGUAGCUUGUGCUAAUCACGAUUAGUCGUUCAUGUGAAACUAUAUAUGCUUUUCGUUUGACUAAUCAUUUAAAUGGUCUUAAUGCAACUAUGUAUUAAGAUAAUGAUACACCAGGUUCGGUUGUAUUUCAUUUCGGUGUAUCCUUGCAACACGUUGAUUUUAUUCAUUUAAUGGUUCGAUUGUUGAUAAAUCAUUUUCAUGAGUCUAUUUAUUUGAACUUGUUAAACUCGAGUUUCAAUCAUACAACAACCAACACCAGUUUCUGUUGGUAGUGAAUUCUAUUGUUUCAAAAAUUGAUUUGCAGUUUGUGAACUUUCAUUUAGAAUUCUAUUGGUCGAAAUUCCUCUUUUAUUGGACCCCUGUAAACUUGCUCACAUUGGUGAUAGUAUCACUACGCUUCGUUCACUUGACAUCGAUUUCUUGAACAAACUCAGUUGAACCGUUGGGUUCUUAUCAAUGCAAAAUGAACCUACAUUCACGUAAUCUGAAUAGGUUUUGAUUCAAUUACGUGCUCAUUCAUUUUGGUAUUAUUCGGACUUACCUAGGAACGACACAGCUCUAAGGAGAUAACAUAGACUAAAUUUCGAGGACGAAAUUUCUGCAACAGGGGGAGAAUGUGACAACCGGUAAUUUAUGCCUUUAAUUACAUGAUUAACAAACGUUUAGGGGAUAACAAAUAGUUUUUAAGAGGCGAAUUAACUUAUCUAGGCUCGCGGAAUGCCUAGGAACGCCUGUCUGACUUUACAGUACGCUAAUGUGGAUUUGCGAGAAGACUGCUGAACGAUACGCGGUAACGAACUGACAUCGUACGAAUUACUGACCGCGCCAACGAAUAUCAAAUUUGUACAUGUGACUUAUACAUAUGAAUGUGGCUUUAUGAAGAUAUCAUGCGUUUGAACGACACAAAACGCAAACGUGAAAAAAAAAAAACGUGACGGUGGGAACGCACCGGCAACGAAACGAAAGCCCCGGACUCGAGAUAUGUCUCGAUAUUAGUAUAUUAUGAUAUAUUUAGCUUAGUUUUCAAAUAUUAUUAUCCGUAGAUGAAAUCGGAUCGAAAAACAAAUUAAAAACGGUAACCGAGUCAUUUUAUGUGUUUUUAACGCAACCGACAGAAAUACACGUCCAAUAACGAUAUACUAUAAAAUUUUCGAAUGUUCGACACUAAGACUUUAUUUUCCGACAAUCGAGUUCGAAAACGGGCCUCGUAGACGUAUCGGGCCGCGUAAACGGGCUUGUGGGCCUGGGGCCCAAGCCCGCAUAAGAAACCUAAGUAUAAAAGGGCACUUAAAAACCCUAUCCCCAUUUCCUUCAAACAAACCUGCUUACACCGCACACAUGCACAGUGCUUUUCUCCUUCUCUCUUGAUUAUACACGCAUACACACAGACCAGAUGCAAAAGUGAGUUUAUUUGAGAACCAUAUCAACACCUAUAACAAUUGUAACCUACAACUACUUGCCCCUUAACACCUCCCACAAUCAAGCAGAGCCUUCAAUCUUCUAAACACCUCUCAUCCUCUCUUUCUAAUAAACCGACCAACCACCACCAUGGGCGGCAGGUGGCGUGGCGUGGCGGCGACGGGAACCACAUCAAGUCGGGCAGACACAAGAGAACGAGAGAGAGAGACAUCGGAGGGGGGGGGGGGGUAAUGACGGACGACGGUGGAGUUCCGCCGCUGAUGUUGAUGUCGGAGAUGAUGGAGACGGCGGCAGUGGGAUUCCACGGCGGAAACGCCGCCGAUCACGGCGGUGGUUCUUUGUUUAUUUCCGACGGAACUUACGAUGAUGUUGCUUUGGAUCGGGUUCAGACCACACUAGCCAACCGGUCAGAUUUUAUUCGGGUCAACAGCGAUUUGCUCGGUUCGGUUUCGCAGUCAACUCAGUCGGCCGGUUAAUUCAGUCAAACGGGAAGCUUUCGGUUGAAGUUCGGGUUUUGGUUCGGACAUGUUUUGGUAUGGUUCAACUCGGUUGACUCGGUUAAACCGAGUCAACUCAGUCAACGACAACAGGUCAACACCCGAGUCAACUCGGGUCAACAACGGGUCAAGAUUGGUCAAUGAAAGUCAGCGGUCAGACCAAGUCGACAAGUCAGCGGAUACGGGUCCAAAGCAGUUACGGUUUGGGUCAAUAGCUAGCCAACCUCAGUUUCGGUUCGAAACGACUCGGUCAAACUGGGUCGACUCGGUCAAACCGAGUCCACUCAGUCAAACCCGGUCAACAGCAGUAAACGCGGUCAACUCAGGACCCGGAAUGCUAUAAUUGCACGUUAGCGAGUUCACGUUCUUGGAACGACAUCACGCAAUCACUUCUAGCUAGCUUUGCACAGGAAUGUCAAGGUUGCAUUUUUAAAACUAUGGAACGGUUGGAAUAGGAGAACCCAUGGGUAUUCGAGUACUUAGCGGGCGUUCACUUUCUAGAAGUCUUAGCUUAUUUGCUUCCGCUGUGCAAUGAAGAUACCGGUCCAGUCACGCCAGCUCUGAUUUUUCAGGGUGUGACAUAAGGCUCUCUGCAUCUACUGUAGGUCCACUAGCGGAGGAUCUAGUAACCUAAUCUUUGUUACCGAACACACCCGGUUGUGCGGAAUCCAACCGGGUAAGAAAACCGAGCAAAGAACACGAGUACACACACAAGAUACAACGUUUAAAGCUUCAAAUGUUAUAACCAGAAGUGUUUGUUUACAACGAUUACAGAAGAUUAUACUCUCACAAACUCAUUGGUUCUCUCGUGUCUCACUGUGUGUCUUCUUCAGUGUGUUCUACCUCUUCUGUCUUCAGUUUGCUGCUUAUAUAGGAACAUGGUCGACGAAAGUCUUGCAGCCGACGAAAGACUCCGGCGAAAGACAUGAGACGACGAAGAACUUGGUUUUUCGCCACAAUGAUAAAUGUCAGUUCUUCGUCGAGUGUAAUAUCAGUUUUUCGUCAUGCACGGUUGGCUGGGUUUUUCGUCAUAUUGGCUGGGCAGUUUUUCGUCAUAUUGGCUGGGCAGUUUUUCGUCAUGCACAUAUGCUUGAGUUCUUCGUCAUGCAUAUGUAUUUUUGGAAUCUUCGUCUCAGGAAUAAACAACAAGCAAUUUAAUUUGUUUCUCAAAGAGAAUUCACGUGAACAUGGCAUCUAUCCAUUUAUAAGGCUAUGCGGUAUCGGGGACGUCCCCAUACCGUCGAGGACCGUCGCCGACAUGUACACCAUCCCCCCAUCCCCGUCCUCUCCGGCAAGCCCUGGACGUUUGCGACGAGCACUAGAUGCCAAAAAAUGUGGGGGCCAAUGUAAAAUGUUACGGUUUAAAAAAAAUCAAAUUCACAAUUUUCAUAUAUUAAAAAAAUGGCUAUAUUUCAAAUUUAUAACCAAUUCACUCCCACUUUUAUAAAUACUCACCUCUUUUACACCAUUUUUCACAACUUUUCACCCACUACAAUCUCAUAUCUCUCUCACAUUUUAUAACCCCUCUCCCCUUUUUAUAAAAACUCAUCAAUUUUUAUACCAUUUUUUACACACUACCAUCCCAUCUCACUCUCAAAAAUUACCAUGGCUUCACCUUCUUUCAUUUCUUCCAUUUCUUCAUCUACGUGGUAUUCAUCAUCGUUGGAAAAGGAUGCAAUUAUGCACAACAUGAUUAUGAACGCGGCUCAGGUCUUCAUGGCGGGUGAUGAAGCGUCGUCCCAACGGCUAACUAGACAAGCAAAAUUAAACCGAGACCAAGAAGGUACUUUAUUGUUUUUUCCUUAUGUUUUAUAUAGAUUUGAAAAUGUAUUUUAUAAUUAAUUUCAUUUAUGUUUCGUUCUAAAUUUAUAGCCGCCCACGAUAAACUAGUAGCCGAUUAUUUUGCCGACGAACCCGUAUACCCAGCCGAGAUUUUUCGACGUCGGUUCCGCAUGAGUCGUCCACUUUUUUUACGUAUCGCAGGCGACAUGGCCCAGUCUGAUCCGUUUUUUACACUGCGAAACGACGCUAAGGGGCAAAGGGGUUUCAGUAAUUUACAAAAAUGUACGCCGGCCAUUCGCCAACUGGCAUACGGUUACGCGCCCGAUGCAUUAGACGAGUAUAUAAGGAUGUCUGAAAGAACUGCACGUCUAUGUUUGCACAAGUUUUGCGAAUGAGUUGUCAAAUUGUAUAGCAAGAGAUACCUGCGGAAACCGAACGCAAACGACGUUCAAAAUUUAUAUCAAGCACACGAACAGAGACAUGGUUUCCCAGGAAUCCUUGGGAGCAUUGAUUGCAUGCACUGGCCGUGGCAGAACUGUCCAGUUGCCUGGCAAGGUCAGUAUACUAGGGGAGAUCGUGGACAUCCGACUAUUAUUCUAGAGGCUGUUGCGUCACAGGAUCUCUGGAUCUGGCAUGCUUUUUUUGUCUACCUGGUGCGCUCAAUGACCUUAACAUCAUAUACCAGUCACAGAUAUUUGAGGAUGUAGUGGCGGGUACAGGUCCAGACACAAGUUUUACGGUUUCGGGGGUGGAAUACAGGCGAGCUUACUACCUAGCCGAUGGAAUAUACACAACGUACUCGACAAUCGUUAAAACCAUUCCGCACCCGACAGACGGAAAAAGAAAAAAAUUUGCGAAGUAUCAAGAGGGUGCGAGAAAAGAUAUUGAACGGGCUUUUGGUGUUCUACAAAAAAAAUGGCAAAUCAUUGAACAUCCAGCACGUUCGGCUAUACCAAAGAGGUUACGACACAUUAUGUACGCUUGUAUCAUCCUUCAUAACAUGAUCAUUGAAGACGAAGGUAGAGCGAUAUGCGAGUACGACGAAAACGCGUCUACUGGAAAUUCUGCUCCAGUUAGUGGCGAACAACAAGAUUUGAACAUGUUCGCUCUACGUAACGAGUACACACAUCAUAACCUACAAUCGGACUAACCAACUGGGUAGCCCAGUUGGCCACCGACACCCACUUCUUCCCAGAGGUACCGGGUUCGAGUCUUGGGAGUGACAUAUGUCGCCCAGGGUAAGAACUUGGCAUGGGGAAGUCACCGCGGAGCUAGCUUGGUCGGGUAGCGGCUCCCGGAGUGAGAUCACUCCGGCGGUUGGGAGGACCGUGCGCUAUCCCCCCCCCCCCCCCCAAACCUACAAUCAGACUUGGUGGAGUACAUUUGGAGUAACGCUCAAAACGAAUCCGACGACGACAUGGAAGACGAAGACUGGUAGCUUAUUUUAAUAUAUUAGGAUUUUUUAAGUUUAUGUAUUUUUUAGGUUUAUUUUUUUUUAAGUUUAUGUUUUUUUAAGUUUAUUUUUUUUAAGUUUAUGUAAUGUUUUUUAAUAUUAAUGAAAAUAUUUUGUUAGUUUAUUUGUUAAAUGUUAAAAAAAAGUAGAAGAUUAAAAAAAAAACAUAAAAGUGGUGGGGUAGGAUCAUCUAGGACCAUCCUCCAUACCCUUUAGUUUUGUGGGAUGGACCAUCCUUGGAGGACUAUGACGUGGCGCCUACGUGGCGGAUCAUCCUCCCUUUGAGGACCAUCACCAUACCCUCUAGCCUAAGUCUUCUCAUGAGAUCAUCAUGACAUCAUUAUUAUUGUUGAUGUCAUGGUGAUGUGGCGUCGGGAAGGUUCGCGGCUCUUCGUGCUUCGUGUGUCGAACUCUGGGGCGCACGACGGAGUAAUGUCGCGACGUCGGGCUUGAGCCGAACCUAACCGAGUCGAGCCGAACCGAGUCGCGUCCAUAUAAUAUGUAUCAACAUCUACCCUACUUAAACCCUGCCUUAACUUUGCUAUUGAUGGGAUUUACUGAGUAUGAUGAUGAUUUUUUUUCCGGUGACAUUGAUGGGCAUGCGUACUCAAGAAUAAUGGUUUUAUUUCUUCCUCAAUAACCUUACUCUGUGUGUGUUGGACUGUGUUUUCAUCUUUUACAAUUAAUCCUUCUCAAGAAACACUCAAUCUCACUUUUAGAUUUGUUUUUUUUUUUUCUUGGAAUGGUAGUGUAGCAGUGAGGAGUCCUUUCUGACAACCAGUAGCUUAAUCAUGUUAAUAAUUCUUCCUUUCAUAUAUGAGAAUUUGUAAGUUUAUUAUUAAGAAAUCAUAUGCGUGAAACAUUAAUUAGAACUAGGCUUGUUAAAUGGGGCAUGGUUUCUGGAUUGGCGGGUAAGGCUGAAGGGUGUGGGGGGCAUGGGUUGGGUCAUUAAUCGCCACGUAGGAACAAUGAUUUACACCUACACCACCCCCCUUGGAGCUUCAUGUCGUGGUGAGCGUGGAUUAAUCCACGAUAACCACGUCCCACUUUUCCUAUUUUCUAGUGAUGGGAACAAUAAAUAUAUAAACUCAUUUUCCUUAUUUUCGAUUCCCCCAUCAUCCCCAACACAAACCCUAGCAGCAACGAUAUCAAAAACACAUCAACAAUACCGGCAACAAGAACAGCAACAACAAGUAUACCAGGUUUCUUCUUAUUCAGUUUUUAAAUACCAGGCACAUCUUAAUACGGACUACAACAGGCAUGUUCUUUGAGUUUAACCUAUUUAUUAUAGCAAUAGUAUUGAACCUGUGGCUUCUUUGAAUAGCAGUAGUAUUAAACAUGCGGCUUCUUUGAGUUUAACCUAUUUAUUAUAACAGUAGUAUUAAAGCCACGGUUAACUAAAUAUGCAUGCUAAAUAAUACAGUGGCAAAACUAAUGAAUGGAGACAUAAAAUUGAACACAUAAUGCAUGCUUUGUCCUCUAUUCUUGAAAGCGAAUAGAAUAGCACACAUAUAUAUCAAUAUUGCAAUUUUAAGGAGUGAACCUAGUUCCAUAAUUGCAGAGAAACAAUGGUUUUUAAGAAGUUGAAAGAGAAGAAGAUAACAUAAUAAAAUAUUAAGUGGGCCCCGGUUCCUAACGAGGUGGCAAGAGCAAAGAGGUCUAAAACAUCUGAAUCGAUAUAGCAUAGCGCCGAUCAUUCGGAUGCGCGUUCACUACUAGAAAAUCUGAAACUUCUUACACCAGUUUUCCUAGGAAAUGCGUCGUAAAACUGGUUUUUCUACGAAUUUAUGACAAACACAUGAUGUAGGAAAACAGCUCGUAGGAAACCCGUUUUCUACGCAUUUCCUACGCAACUUCCUACACAUUUUCUACGAAACUACUACGUCGCAAAUUGCUAUGAAUCUCCUACAAUAUAUUUAAUUAUUAUCUUUUAGGAUUUAUUUUUUUGGCUACACAUUUCUGACCAAAAAAAAAAACAAACAAAAUUAACAAAUUUUAAUAAAACAUUAUUUGUGACCCAUUUCCUACAAAUAAAUUAGAAGUGUUGUUACAAAUUUCCUAGGAAACUGAGUAUUUUUUGUGACCCACUUCCUACAAAUAAAUUAGAAGUGUUGUUACAAAUUUCUGAGGAAACUGAGUAUUUUUUGUAACCCACUUCCUACAAAUAAAUUAGAAGUGUUGUUACAAAUUUCCGAGGAAACUGAGUAUUUUUUGUGACCCAUUUUCUACAAAUAAAUUAGAAGUGUUGUUACAAAUUUCUGAGGAAACUGAGUAUUUUUUGUAACCCACUUCCUACAAAUAAAUUAGAAGUGUUGUUACAAAUUUCCGAGGAAACUGAGUAUUUUUUGUGACCCAUUUUCUACAAAUAAAUUAGAAGUGUUGUUACAAAUUUCCUACGAAAACUGAGUAUGUUUUGUGACAAAUUUCUGACAAAAUAAAGAAAAAAGGUCUACUAUUUUUGACCGGUUUCUGACAAAAGCUAUUUAUGUUGUGACACAUUUCUAACCACCUAAUUUAUUAAAUAAAAAAAAUGCAAAAAAAUAAAUAAUAUUUCUGCAUUUUUGUGGUGAAAAAUUCCAGAAAUAAUCUGCAAUACCAAAAACCUAUUUUACAAAAUUCACCGAAGUUACAAUGACAUAAUUUAAAAAUCAUGCGUCACACACACACACACACACACACACAAACACACAAACAUAUAGAUACAAGCGUGCAUAUACGUACACAUACAUACAUACAUACCCACAUACACAAAUACAUAUAUAGAUACUCACAUUAUACUCAUAUGCAUACGUCCGCAUAGUUACGUGCAUUUAAUAUUUAAAAUAAGAAUAAUUAUAUUGGUUGUUUCUUACACAUUUGUGACAAAUCCUUAAAUGUCAUAAGAAAUGUGUCACAACUUGCAAUGGAUUUAAGCAUUUUGUCAUAAAUCCGUAGGCAAUUGUACUGAUACAUGGAUUUUUUCCUACGCCUUUGUGACAAUUUGCAAUGGAUUUAAUCAUUUUGUCAUAAACGCGUAGGAAAUUGUAUUGAUACAAGGAUAUUUAUCAAAAAUGUGUCACAAGUUGUGACGCAAUCCUGACGGAUGGUUUAUGAAUCUAUAUUUUAUCAUAAAUUCGUAGGAAAUUGUAUUGAUACAAGGAUAUUUAUCGGAAAUGUGUCACAAGUUGUGACGCAAUUCUGACGGAUGGUUUAUGAAUCUAUAUUUUGUCAUAAAUUCGUAGGAAAUUGUAUUGAUACAUGGAUUGUUUCAUACGCCUUUAUGACAAUUUGCAAUGGAUUUAAGCAUUUUGUCAUAAAUCCGUAGAUAAUUGUUUUGAUACAAGGAUAUUUGUCAGAAAUGUGUCACAAGUUGUGACGCAAUCCCGAUGGAUGGUUUAUUUUAAUUAAUAAAUAAAUAUUUUUUUCACAAUUGUGUAGGAAAUGCAAUCAUUUUCCCUUAUUUGUUUUGCAUAUAUUAAUAUUUAUUCGGUAGACAAUUAUAAUUCACCUUUUGUAGAUUAUUUGUGAGAGAUUUGUGACGCAACUGUCAAUUAAAUAGGGUUUUCUUUUUUUUUUUCGAAAAACUUGUCACAAGUUGUGACGGAAUUCCGACGGAUGGUUUAAGUUAAUUAAAAAAUAAAUAUUUCGUCAUAAAUGUGUAGGAAACGAUAUUAUUUCUGAGUGAUUUGUGAUGCAACUGUCAAUUAAUUAGCGUUUUCUUAUUUUUCGUCACAAAUGUGUAGGAAACGAAAUUAUUUUCCCUUAUUUAUUUGGCUUAUAUAAAUAUUUAUUCGGUAAAGAAUAAUAAUUAACCUUUUGUAGGUUAUUUCUGACAGAUUUGUGACGCAACUGUCAAUUAAUUAGGGUUUUCUUGUUUUUCGUCAUGGAUGCAUCAAAUUUUUGUAACAAAAUCAUGAAAUUUUUUUUUGUAGGAAAUUCAUCAUAAAGGUGUUGUAAUAUGUGACGAAAAAAAUUGUGUAGGAAAUUUCUGUAGGAAAUUGUCCCCUUUUCUAGUAGUGGUUGCCAUAUUAAUAUUAAUGGUGAACCCGAGUUUAACGAUGAAGUGAUGGAGAUUCCGGAAUUGCAACGCCCAAAUGGUAGAGACAAAGCAAAAAAGGAAGCGGCAGCCAAUAAAAGGAGGCGUCGACAAAAAAUGAAUCUCCCGGUGAAACGAAGGUGGAUAAGUUGAUGAGCAAGAUCACCGAAGCGGCGAGACUUAAGUUGAUAGAAAAAGAAAUGCAAGAAGCAGCCGAUCGUGAAGACUUUAAGCUAAUGGCCACAAGCAUCGACUCACUCCCCGAGAAAGAUAGAGAAGUGUUGCAAAAAACGAAGGCGAAAAUUGCUAAAAAAAAGGGGUGUCUUUAAAUUAUGUAGUUUAAAUUUGGAUGUUAUUUUUUUUUAUUAAUUUGAAUGUUAUGUAGUUUUAUUACUAAAAUUUAUUUAAUUUUAUUUGUUGUUUAUUUAAUAUAAAUAAAAUAUAUUUCACACAAAAAAAUGGUGG